UAAGUGUGUAAGGGUUGUUGGAGACGACGACGUAGAUAGGUCUGGUGUGUAAGCGGUGUGAGCCGUUGAGCUAACAGAUACUAAUUGCCCGAGAGGCUUAACUAU
rnacentral:rRNA from 1 species